GAUGAACGCUGGCGGCGUGCCUAAUACAUGCAAGUCGAGCGAACAGACGAGGAGCUUGCUCCUCUGACGUUAGCGGCGGACGGGUGAGUAACACGUGGAUAACCUACCUAUAAGACUGGGAUAACUUCGGGAAACCGGAGCUAAUACCGGAUAAUAUAUUGAACCGCAUGGUUCAAUAGUGAAAGACGGUUUUGCUGUCACUUAUAGAUGGAUCCGCGCCGCAUUAGCUAGUUGGUAAGGUAACGGCUUACCAAGGCAACGAUGCGUAGCCGACCUGAGAGGGUGAUCGGCCACACUGGAACUGAUACACGGUCCAGACUCCUACGGGAGGCAGCAGUAGGGAAUAUUCCGCAAUGGGCGAACGCCUGACGGAGCAACGCCGCGUGAGUGAUGAAGGUCUUCGGAUCGUAAAACUCUGUUAUUAGGGAAGAACAAAUGUGUAAGUAACUAUGCACGUCUUGACGGUACCUAAUCAGAAAGCCACGGCUAACUACGUG
rnacentral:rRNA from 1 species